CGAGGAAUUUUGCGCAAUGGGCGAAAGCCUGACGCAGCGACGCCGCGUGGAGGAAGACGGCCUUCGGGUUGUAAACUCCUGUCAGGGGUGAAGAAACUUCGCAAGAAGCUGACGGUAACCCCAGAGGAAGCCCCGGCUAACUACGUGCCAGCAGCCGCGGUAAUACGUAGGUGGCGAGCGUUAUCCGGAUUUAUUGGGCGUAAAGCGUGCGCAGACGGUUUACUAAGUCUAAAAUUAAAGCCCGAAGCUUAACUUCGGUUCGUUUUAGAAACUGGUAGGCUUGAGUAUGGUAGAGGCAAAUGGAAUUUCUAGUGUAGCGGUAAAAUGCGUAGAUAUUAGAAGGAACAUCAGUGGCGAAGGCGAUUUGCUGGGCCAUUACUGACGUUCAUGCACGAAAGCGUGGGGAGCAAAUA
rnacentral:rRNA from 1 species